rnacentral:tRNA from 1 species
GCGGGAAUGGCGGAAUGGUAGACGCGCCAGAUUCAGAUUCUGGUGGAAGCAAUUCCUUGCAGGUUCAAGUCCUGUUUCCCGCACCA